UGCGUUCGUUCGUUCCACAAACACC
rnacentral:piRNA from 1 species